GCUGGAGUCUUUAAUAAUGGUGUUAUCUUACAUACUUUAUCUGUGGCUUCCUCAGCAAGUUCCUCUGACACGUCUUUUUCCUCUUUUGAACUGUCUUUUGACAUUGAAAAGCAAAAAUCAAAACCCCGAAAUUAUUAUGAUCAAAGUAGACACAACUCUUAUCCAUCUGGAAGCAACAUUCAUAGAAGCCCUCAGAGACCUUCUUACAGUGGAGGAAGAUGGAAAGAGUGAAGACAGAAAUACAAGUGAUACUGUGAGAGCUUUUCCUGCAGGCUGCUGUAUCCCGUCAGUGCAGUAGCUGCCGUCAGUCACUGAAUAUCCAGAGAGUUUACAGGACAGUGUCAAAACCUGACCAGGACUUAAGACCACAGAAUCAGUCUGGUACAAUAUCGCCACAUAUUCUGAUACUGAGAAGACUGAGAAGAUGUUACUUUUUGGAAAACACCAAAAAGAGACAUUUGCUUUGAUUUACGAUGCAGAGCAGGCAAAGAGAUUACAAUUAUCAACAAGAG